CUCAGAUUGAACGCUGGCGGCAGGCCUAACACAUGCAAGUCGAACGGUAACAGGAAGAAGCUUGCUUCUUUGCUGACGAGUGGCGGACGGGUGAGUAAUGUCUGGGAAACUGCCUGAUGGAGGGGGAUAACUACUGGAAACGGUAGCUAAUACCGCAUAACGUCGCAAGACCAAAGAGGGGGACCUUCGGGCCUCUUGCCAUCGGAUGUGCCCAGAUGGGAUUAGCUUGUUGGUGGGGUAACGGCUCACCAAGGCGACGAUCCCUAGCUGGUCUGAGAGGAUGACCAGCCACACUGGAACUGAGACACGGUCCAGACUCCUACGGGAGGCAGCAGUGGGGAAUAUUGCACAAUGGGCGCAAGCCUGAUGCAGCCAUGCCGCGUGUAUGAAGAAGGCCUUCGGGUUGUAAAGUACUUUCAGCGGGGAGGAAGGGAGUAAAGUUAAUACCUUUGCUCAUUGACGUUACCCGCAGAAGAAGCACCGGCUAACUCCGUGCCAGCAGCCGCGGUAAUACGGAGGGUGCAAGCGUUAAUCGGAAUUACUGGGCGUAAAGCGCACGCAGGCGGUUUGUUAAGUCAGAUGUGAAAUCCCCGGGCUCAACCUGGGAACUGCAUCUGAUACUGGCAAGCUUGAGUCUCGUAGAGGGGGGUAGAAUUCCAGGUGUAGCGGUGAAAU
rnacentral:rRNA from 1 species